rnacentral:rRNA from 1 species
GAUGAACGCUGGCGGCGUGCCUAAUACAUGCAAGUCGAGCGAACGGACGAGAAGCUUGCUUCUCUGAUGUUAGCGGCGGACGGGUGAGUAACACGUGGAUAACCUACCUAUAAGACUGGGAUAACUUCGGGAAACCGGAGCUAAUACCGGAUAAUAUUUUGAACCGCAUGGUUCAAAAGUGAAAGACGGUCUUGCUGUCACUUAUAGAUGGAUCCGCGCUGCAUUAGCUAGUUGUAA